AUCUCAGCUUGAGGCAGAAUUAGACACACUUGUGCUGGGGAAUUCAUGCCUCAUGCCGCUCUCCCGUCUGCUCUGGGUGUUCCUGGCCUUCACCUUCUCUGGAUCUGGUGUGGCCCAGAGUGUUACUCAAGACCAACCACACAUACUCAGUGAAGUGGGGAAGACAGUCACCCUGAACUGUCGGUAUGAAACAAGUUGGGGCAUGUACAAGUACUACAUUUUUUGGUACAAGCAGCUUCCCAGUGGACAGAUGACUUAUCUUAUUCGUCAGUAUUCAGAUGAUGGGAAUGCAAGGGAUGGCCGCUAUUCUGUAAAUUUCCAGAAAGCUCAUAAAUCCAUCAGCCUCACCAUUCCAGCCUUAGAGCUGGAAGAUUCUGCAAAGUACUUCUGUGCUCUCUGGGACUCACAGUGCUUGAAGUAAUAGAAAAGCUGAACAAAACCCCCAGAACUAAAUAAACGAGAGCCCCCCUGCUGCAAGGACCCCAGCUGAAAUGCACACCUGCAGACCCCAGACAAGAAAUGGUAGUCUUGCGGUUGCUUCAUCUGUAGUCUGGAUCAGAGGAUUUAAUUCUAAAUAAAAGCUUCUUUGAUGUCACUUGGAA